UAGCUGGGUGUGGUGGCGAGUGCCUGUAAUGCCAGCUACUCCGGAGGCUGGGGCAGAGAAUUGCUUGAACCCAGUAGGCGGAGGUUGCAGUGAGCCAAGAUUGUGCCACUGCACUCCAGCCUGGGCAACAGAGUGAGACUCUGUCUCAGAAAAAAAAAAAAAAUUAUUAAUAGAUGGUGACCCUCAUCUUCACGUUUUCUGCAUCUAUUGAAGUGCGCCACUGAGAUCGUGGAGUUCUUCCCUGUUUGUCCAUAUGAUGAACAACACUGAUUUUCUGAUGUUGAACAAUCCCUGGAAUAAACUCUGUUUGGUUUCCAUGGAUUUCUGUUUCCCUUUAGAUUUUGUUAGUAAUUUAUUUUGGAUUUUUGCAUCCAAGUUCAUAAUUGUAACUGGACAAAUAAAGGCAGAUUUUAAAAGGACAAGUUGGGAGGCUAAGGCGGAAGGAUCACUUGAGCCUGGGAGAUUGAAGCUGCAGCUAGCUUCGAUUGUUCCACUGUACUCCAGCCUGGUGACAGCAGGACCUGCCUCUAAAAUAAUAAUACUUAAAAGGACGAGUUUACCUACAGUCUCACCAAGCAAUGAAAGAGCUUAUCUUCUUCCUGUUUCCUUUACGGAUCUUGCUCAUGUAUUUUAUCUUAGUUACUUUAGCAUAAAUGCUAAAUCAAAUUCUUUUUCACUAGACAUCAUAAUAGCUCUAGGCAUACCACAUAAUACCCAAGCACAUUUUAAUCAUUAA
rnacentral:lncRNA from 1 species